UGGUGAGGAGGAGGGAAGGUCUAGCGUCGGCGGUGGAGGAGGGAAGGUCUAGUGCCGGCGGUGGAGGGAUGCCGCCUCGAGGAGCGGCAGGUACCGGAGGGGGUGUGUGAGGAGAGAGGGUGGGGGAGGGCUUAGUGGCGUACAGGGAGAGUAGGAGCAGGUGGGUGCUUCGGGAUCUAGGGAAGAGGGGUAGCGGUGGUGGCGAGGGAAAAGGGGUAGCGUCAGGAAGGGGUACAUAGCGCAACGGGUCUAGGUGCGGUGUGGAGCGGCAGGUGUGUGCGAGUGGCAGGUGCGGAGGUAGGGAGGAAGAGACGGAGCGGGACAGAGGGUGGUGCGAUGUGUGGCGUGCGGUGUGCGGUGGAGGCGGGAGGGGAGCGGUGGCGCGAUUAGGGUAGCAGCUCGGGUCAAGGGGGGUGUGAUCUGCUCGCGGCGACCGCCGCCGUCCAGUGGUACCGGCGGAGGAGAGAGGGAGAGGGCACUGAGAGGAGUGGGGGCGGUGGAGGAGACUAGGGUCGGCUAGGGGCCAGCCAACUUCUCCAGGGCCACUCUAACCUGGACGGAUUCCCGUAGUUCUACGUCUGCGUCUCGCACACGUUUACUGCCUCCUCCGCUUCUUCCUCGUAUUCUUCUACGAGCUGUUCGAGAGGGUGGUUCGCCUGCUAUACUUCCCUAGCAUGUACUUCAAUUACUGUCUCCACGUCAGCAGAAGUAGAGUACCAUGAUGCCGCUACCUCGUCUCUGUAGAUAGAAGACUUAACAUGAAGUAAAGUCAGGAGUUAAGUUCUAUGAUACUCAAUUGCUACCAAACCAUAUACUCAAGCAUAGUGAAGAAGACAAAGCUUUAACUGUAUACUCAACGAAUACAAGUCAUUUAAAGUACUUACAUACUCACAAACAGGUAUUUUUAGUUCUCCACAUCGUAUAUAGAUGGUCCCUAUCAUUAAUAACAACGAAUGUCCAAUGGUUUCACAACGUCAAGUAUGAUUUACGUCAAGAUCACCUUCAGUAUUAUAUAGUUCCUGCCUAUUCUCUAGUAGAUGAAAGUAUUCCAGGUACUAGAUCGGCUUGGUGAUUACCUACACCGCAGAUGCUUCGUGAUGUGGAUCGAACGAACGACCGCGCGCGCACGCACGAAGCUACGUGCUGCGAAGUAGCUCGACCGACCUGGUGCCGUUAGAGGUCUCGUCCUCGGCCUCCUCCGCUGCUCUACGAUGACGACGUCGACGUAGGAGCCUCCGUCGUCGACGGGGAGCGGCUGGAGUGGUUGGAGGCCGCAGGCGGUACUCGAGUCGCGUCCUGGGGAAGAUGUAGCAGGUCCUCCUCUAGGUCCCUACCUAGCCAUUCGACGUCUGAUGCAAGGUAGCGACCCUCGUUCAAAGAAGUUUGUUGCCUCUUAUACAGGUAGCCUGUUAUAGUAGCGACCGUCGUUCAAAGAAGUUUGGACUAAUGAAACAGUAGUCCGUCCGACUAACGUAGGUUGAGUUUCUCAAGGUGUAAAGAUUGAACUCCCAAGGUGAACGUGUACUACCGGGGUGUUGAGGAAUACCUUUCUUCGAAGGACGUCGACUGUUGUUCUACGACCGGAAGUAAGAAGUUAUCAACCCACGUAUCCUCGAAAUACUUCUUCUUAGGGCUUCCUUUUGGUGUGGGUCGUUACGCAAAAUCGAGUGACGUCGAUCAAUACACAACAUAUAAAUCAACAUAAGAUAUCGACUUAUGGUCUAGACAUGAUACAUAGUAACAUUACAUGAAACGAAUCGAUAACAUACUUUAUAGUACGGAAUAACCGAGAAACUUAGUUUAAUAGAUUAACGUGUUUAUAUCUUGACUGUACACCA
rnacentral:rRNA from 1 species